rnacentral:rRNA from 1 species
AUACGGGGGGAGCGAGCGUUGUUCGGAAUUAUUGGGCGUAAAGCGUAGGUAGGCGGUCGAAUAAGUCAGACGUGUAAGCCCUCGGCUCAACCGAGGAAUUGCGUUUGAAACUAUUUGACUUGAGUAUAGGAGAGGAAAGCGGAAUUCCCAGUGUAGCGGUGAAAUGCGUUGAUAUUGGGAAGAACAUCUGUGGCGAAGGCGGCUUUCUGGCCUAUUACUGACGCUGAGAUACGAAAGCUAGGGUAGCGAACGGGAUUAGAAACACCAGUAGUCC